ACAACCACAAAGGGUGUGCCUGGAUAAAGUCUUCUGUCCCUCUGUAAACUCCAGCAGACUUGGGUUUGAGGGUUUUACUCCAAUGGGGCAAGAAACCUGAACUUGUCCACACCACCAGAGCAAUUCUCUCUCUUUUUGAUGAUGACUCCUUCAUUUCUCCAACAAUUUACAGAACCUUCCGCUUGAAAGUUACAGACUCAUGCAAAAAUUUGAUUACUCAUGAGAACCAGACAGAAGGUAACAGAGGAUCAAUACAGUCCAGAAAGUUCUAAUGCUCUGCCACUAUUCAAGCAAUCUGUUGAAAUUGUAGAUAUGUUAAGUCUGUAACAAAGAGGUAAUCUGUUCACCUCUUAGCUCCCCUAGUCAAGCUAUUUUCCUGCUGAGGUUCUGGCAGCCUCAGCUUCAGGAAAGAAAAGGUCUGUGCAAUUAAGCACUGUGUAAGCCAAAGGCCCACAUUCUAAAAGCAGGCUUGGGAUUUAACUCCACUGUUGCAUGCUGAAUUUGAGCAUCUGCACAAUUCCAUAUCUCAGCCCAUCCUGGAAAAGAAAACCAAAGGCCCCACAGCUCUUCUAGGCAUCUCAAGCUAUGUGAUUAAAGCAAGGAGCCUUAAAAAAAAGCAUCACCACGGCUGCUCGAGUACAACCACAGCAUCACAGUGCUCACUUCUGGGUGCUCCAGCAUUGGUAGUGCCAAGGAUGAGAGAGAUGCAGCUCACUGCCAGCUGCGUGGCUUCGCAUGGACCACAAAAGGUGAACUACCCCACCAAAUGACGGACAGCACUGGGCACUCCUCCAGCAGAGAAAAUAAAGUGUGAGUAAGUGUGAGGUAAUUCA